rnacentral:rRNA from 1 species
AAGUCGUAACAAGGUCUCCGUUGGUGAACCAGCGGAGGGAUCAUUACUGAGUUUACGCUCUACAACCCUUUGUGAACAUACCUAUAACUGUUGCUUCGGCGGGUAGGGUCUCCGUGACCCUCCCGGCCUCCCGCCCCCGGGCGGGUCGGCGCCCGCCGGAGGAUAACCAAACUCUGAUUUAACGACGUUUCUUCUGAGUGGUACAAGCAAAUAAUCAAAACUUUUAACAACGGAUCUCUUGGUUCUGGCAUCGAUGAAGAACGCAGCGAAAUGCGAUAAGUAAUGUGAAUUGCAGAAUUCAGUGAAUCAUCGAAUCUUUGAACGCACAUUGCGCCCGCCAGCAUUCUGGCGGGCAUGCCUGUUCGAGCGUCAUUUCAACCCUCAAGCUCUGCUUGGUGUUGGGGCCCUACAGCUGAUGUAGGCCCUCAAAGGUAGUGGCGGACCCUCCCGGAGCCUCCUUUGCGUAGUAACUUUACGUCUCGCACUGGGAUCCGGAGGGACUCUUGCCGUAAAACCCCCAAUUUUCCAAAGGUUGACCUCGGAUCAGGUAGGAAUACCCGCUGAACUUAA